UACGUAGGUGGCAAGCGUUUGUCCGGAUUUAUUGGGUUUAAAGGGUGCGUAGGCGGCUUUGUAAGUCAGUGGUGAAAUAUGGCAGCUCAACUGUCAGGGUGCCAUUGAUACUGCAGAGCUUGAGUACAGAUGAGGUAGGCGGAAUUGACGGUGUAGCGGUGAAAUGCUUAGAUAUCGUCAAGAACACCGAUAGCGAAGGCAGCUUACUGGGCUGUAACUGACGCUGAUGCACGAAAGUGUGGGGAUCAAAACAGGG
rnacentral:rRNA from 1 species